AGCAAAUGGACAAGAUCCAAAUGGAAGUGGGAGGCAAAGAGACAGCUAAGAUUGUUUGGGGUUCCAGCAGGAAGGCUAUCCCCGCAGAGGUCUAACCACUCAAGUGUGCUCUAAGUCAGGAGGAUGGCUUCAAGGAGCUUCAUGAUUUGGAGAGUUCAUUUGCUUCAUUUCCUAUCAAAUCAUUGCAAGAACUUAAUGGUUGUUUUGAUAUUGGUGAAGAUGAUGAGGGUUCAAGUAGUCCUACGUCAGUUUCUUUUAAGACCAAGAAAGUGGAAGGAGUGAGAGUGGGAAUUCAGGGAAAACUAGCUCUUUACCUUAUCAUCCCAUUCCUGAGCAUAAAAAGUUUUUGAGUGGUUCAGGAAUACUCGAUAAUGGUUUUUCUCCUACGGAAGUUACACGUGAAGG